rnacentral:lncRNA from 1 species
UUUAAGUUAUUUUUAUUUUACUCUAUUUUUAAUUUAAAAUUUUUUGUUUUAAUUUUUAUAAUUUUUAUUAUUUUUUAAAACCUUCAACUCCAACGGUUCUCAGUGUAGGCAAUGAUGAUUCAUCAGCGCCUGCAGUGUUCUCGUGGCAGCACCCUCAAAAGCGCCAAAACGGGUAUUUUCCUUUGCCCACAUCGCCUCUGUUUAACCUUGCCCGCCCUUGCUGGGUCCCAGCACCGUUAGGAGCGCCGACUUGGCGUUUUUUGCCCGUUGCCGCUGCGGACAGUGCACCGGCCGGCGUUUUCUCCGUGUUCGAUUCCGGUAGAGCGAAGCUGGCGGUUUCUCGCUCGUGGCACCGCUGGUGGCGCGGAGCCGUCCCUUUCUCGGUCGCAGCCCGCCGCCUUCCCCACGCCCCCGAAGGCAAUAGAAGUAAAAUCUACAGCUAAGAGAAGAUUCACAGAAAGGAAUUCCAAGGAGUAGAGAAAACUGUAGUGUCCACAUUCACAUCCCAUCCAGCAGAAAUGGGUCCACCUACCUCAGAAUGGCCACCGGAGUGAGGCACCUCAAGAGAGAGUCCAGGAAAACCUGAUAUGUUUCCCAAGACCUUUGGAGAUCACUGACCCUGAUGCCUACUUUUUGCCCAGAGAAGUGUCAAGGCUAAAGGAUGGCCAAAACUGCCUCUGUCAACAGGGCAGACAGUGCAGCAAUGAAACCAAAGGAAAUCUCUACCCUUUGAUGGUGCAAGGAGAUUGCCUUUCACACUGUGAAAAAAUGUAAAGAAAAAUAAAGAUGAGCUGUAGGACGAUGGGGAAUUUUAAAGAAAUUUUUUCUUUUAACAGUUCCACCUAAGCCUCUCUGUAUUAUAUCUCCUCUCACCUACUUAAAGUGAAAUUUGCCCUCUGACCUGCACUAGUAAUUUCUUCAACACUGUGAAUUCAUUCCCCUUGGGAUGUAAACAUACCUUAGAACACAUUUAAAGAAAACAUUUCUCUGAAAU